rnacentral:miRNA from 1 species
UUUGCCUUUAGUUAGUUUCCGA